CAUACCGACACACCUCAUAGCUCCUCAAAGCUAUGUUUGACAUGUACAUUUGAGCCUUUCUAGGUUCCACUAUCCAAGUUUCCUCACAAGCACUUAUGACACGAUCCUGAUCUUGCAUCCUGGACAUGCCUUCCUAUCUAUGGCCAUGUUGCUCAAUAAUGUUCAUAGACUAUUUGUAUAUUGCUAUGUGUUGCUUCUGAUCUCUCCAUCUA
rnacentral:lncRNA from 1 species